rnacentral:rRNA from 1 species
CUUUAUACUGUGAAACUGCGAAUGGCUCAUUAAAUCAGUUAUCGUUUAUUUGAUAGUACCUUACUACAUGGAUACCUGUGGUAAUUCUAGAGCUAAUACAUGCUAAAAACCCCGACUUCAGGAAGGGGUGUAUUUAUUAGAUAAAAAACCAACGCCCUUCGGGGCUCCUUGGUGAAUCAUAAUAACUUAACGAAUCGCAUGGCCUUGCGCCGGCGAUGGUUCAUUCAAAUUUCUGCCCUAUCAACUUUCGAUGGUAGGAUAGUGGCCUACCAUGGUGGCAACGGGUAACGGGGAAUUAGGGUUCGAUUCCGGAGAGGGAGCCUGAGAAACGGCUACCACAUCCAAGGAAGGCAGCAGGCGCGCAAAUUACCCAAUCCCGAUACGGGGAGGUAGUGACAAUAAAUACUGAUACGGGGCUCUUUUGGGUCUCGUAAUUGGAAUGAGAACAAUUUAAAUCCCUUAACGAGGAACAAUUGGAGGGCAAGUCUGGUGCCAGCAGCCGCGGUAAUUCCAGCUCCAAUAGCGUAUAUUAAAGUUGUUGCAGUUAAAAAGCUCGUAGUUGAACCUUGGGUCUGGCUGGCCGGUCCGCCUCACCGCGAGUACUGGUCCGGCUGGACCUUUCCUUCUGGGGAACCUCAUGGCCUUCACUGGCUGUGGGGGGAACCAGGACUUUUACUGUGAAAAAAUUAGAGUGUUCAAAGCAGGCCUUUGCUCGAAUACAUUAGCAUGGAAUAAUAGAAUAGGACGUGCGGUUCUAUUUUGUUGGUUUCUAGGACCGCCGUAAUGAUUAAUAGGGAUAGUCGGGGGCGUCAGUAUUCAGCUGUCAGAGGUGAAAUUCUUGGAUUUGCUGAAGACUAACUACUGCGAAAGCAUUCGCCAAGGAUGUUUUCAUUAAUCAGGGAACGAAAGUUAGGGGAUCGAAGACGAUCAGAUACCGUCGUAGUCUUAACCAUAAACUAUGCCGACUAGGGAUCGGACGGGAUUCUAUGAUGACCCGUUCGGCACCUUACGAGAAAUCAAA